CGGUGUUUAACUGGCGUGAUGUGGGACGUCCUACCGGUGGGCUUAGCCUCGCGAGGGGCGGCCCAACUAAUAUCCCGUCGCGGUGCUCUUUACUGAGUGUCGAGUCGGGCCGGUACGUUUACUUUGAACAAAUUAGAGUGCUUAAAGCAGGCUAUCCUCGCCUGAAUACUGCGUGCAUGGAAUAAUGGAAUAGGACCUCGGUUCUAUUUUGUUGGUUUUCGGAACCCCGAGGUAAUGAUUAAUAGGGACAGAUGGGGGCAUUCGUAUUGCGACGUUAGAGGUGAAAUUCUUGGAUCGUCGCAAGACGGACAGAAGCGAAAGCAUUUGCCAAAAAUGUUUUCAUUAAUCAAGAACGAAAGUUAGAGGUUCGAAGGCGAUCAGAUACCGCCCUAGUUCUAACCAUAAACGAUGCCAGCUAGCGAUCCGCCGAAGUUCCUCCGAUGACUCGGCGGGCAGCUUCCGGGAAACCAAAGCUUUUGGGUUCCGGGGGAAGUAUGGUUGCAAAGCUGAAACUUAAAGGAAUUGACGGAAGGGCACCACCAGGAGUGAAGCCUGCGGCUUAAUUUGACUCAACACGGGAAACCUCACCAGGCCCAGACACCGGAAGGAUUGACAGAUUGAUAGCUCUUUCUUGAUUCGGUGGGUGGUGGUGCAUGGCCGUUCUUAGUUGGUGGAGCGAUUUGUCUGGUUAAUUCCGAUAACGAACGAGACUCUAGCCUGCUAAAUAGGCGUACCUUAUGGUAUCGCGAAGGCCCCCGGCUUCGGCCGGUGGGUUUUUACUACCAACGUACAAACAAAUCUUCUUAGAGGGACAGGCGG
rnacentral:rRNA from 1 species